rnacentral:rRNA from 1 species
UACGUAGGGUGCGAGCGUUGUCCGGAAUUAUUGGGCGUAAAGAGCUUGUAGGCGGUUUGUCGCGUCUGCCGUGAAAUUUCGAGGCUCAACCCCGGACUUGCAGUGGGUACGGGCAGACUAGAGUGUGGUAGGGGAGACUGGAAUUCCUGGUGUAGCGGUGGAAUGCGCAGAUAUCAGGAGGAACACCGAUGGCGAAGGCAGGUCUCUGGGCCACUACUGACGCUGAGAAGCGAAAGCAUGGGGAGCGAACAGG